AUUGAACGCUGGCGGCAGGCCUAACACAUGCAAGUCGAGCGUGCGGCGGGCGGGUGAGUAAUGCCGGGGAAUUCCCCUGUCGAGGGGGAUAACAGUUGGAAACGACUGCUAAUACCGUAUACGCUGGGAUUGCCCAGGGGGGAUUAGCUAGUUGGUGGGGAAAUGGCUCACCAAGGCGACGAUCCCUAGCUGGUCUGAGAGGUUGAGCAGCCACACUGGAACUGAGACACGGUCCAGACUCCUACGGGAGGCAGCAGUGGGGAAUAUUGCACAAUGGGGGAAACCCUGAUGCAGCCAUGCCGCGUGUAUGAAGAAGGCCUUCGGGUUGUAAAGCACUUUCAGCGGGGAGGCGUUACUCGCAGAAGAAGCACCGGCUAACUCCGUGCCAGCAGCCGCGGUAAUAC
rnacentral:rRNA from 1 species